AAGCGGUGGAAAAGAAACUAACAAGGAUUCCCCUAGUAGCGGCGAGCGAGCGGGAAGAGCUCAAAUUUGUAAUCUGGCGCUUUCAGCGUCCGAGUUGUAAUCUCUAGAAAUGUUUUCCGCGUUGGACCGCACACAAGUCUGUUGGAAUACAGCGGCACAGUGGUGAGACCCCCGUUCAUGGUGCGGAUGCCCAAUGCUUUGUGAUACAUUUUCGAAGAGUCGAGUUGUUUGGGAAUGCAGCUCAAAUUGGGUGGUAAAUUCCAUCUAAAGCUAAAUAUUGGCGAGAGACCGAUAGCGAACAAGUACCGUGAGGGAAAGAUGAAAAGCACUUUGGAAAGAGAGUUAACAGUACGUGAAAUUGUUGGAAGGGAAACGCUUGAAGUCAGACUUGCUGUUCGGAGUUCAGCCGCAAGGUGUACUCUCCGAGUUGCAGGCCAGCAUCAGUUUUCUGGGAUGGAAAAUCACGGUUUGAAGGUAGCAGUUUCGGCUGUGUUAUAGCUUUCCGUUGGAUACAUCCUGGGGGACUGAGGAACGCAGUGUGCUUUUAGCGGGGGCUUCGGCCCCUCACACUAGGAUGCUGGUGGAAUGGCUUUAAACGACCCGUCUUG
rnacentral:rRNA from 1 species